UCUAAACUCAGUAAGGACGACAUUGAUGUGAGGCUCAAGUGGCUUGGCCUCUUCCACAGGAGGAAGCAUCACUGUAAGAUGCAAUCUAAACCUCUUUUUACUGAUUUAUUAUAUGCUUUGAUUGACUUAUCAUAUUUUUAUGCAUCUUUUAGGAAUCCAAAUAAUGGGAUCUACAGUAUAUAGUAAUGUUCAAUAGAUAAAUAAAAAUGAUUUGCUCAUUUGGUAGGAUGAAAUCUAUUGAAAAGAUGGCUUAGUUUGUUUGAUUAUAAAUAAACCAAGCAGAGCAGGCCUAAUCAUUAGCUAUAGUGGGGGUUUCUAAAUGAAGGGCUAUGAUAAAACCAAGUUCUUAUUGGAGUGAUUUCUUAUUUUUGGUGGCACUUUUCAUAUACUAGAAAGAGGAUAUGUGUUACUUAUAAUUAUCUUUCUCCUUAUUUGUCUAAUCUCAUUGUGAAUUCUGUAUGAACGGUGGUGACCAGAUGGUC
rnacentral:lncRNA from 1 species